AGUCGAGCGGGAAAGGGUAGCUUGCUACCUGACCUAGCGGCGGACGGGUGAGUAAUGCUUAGGAAUCUGCCUAUUAGUGGGGGACAACAUUCCGAAAGGAAUGCUAAUACCGCAUACGCCCUACGGGGGAAAGCAGGGGAUCUUCGGACCUUGCGCUAAUAGAUGAGCCUAAGUCAGAUUAGCUAGUUGGUGGGGUAAAGGCCUACCAAGGCGACGAUCUGUAGCGGGUCUGAGAGGAUGAUCCGCCACACUGGGACUGAGACACGGCCCAGACUCCUACGGGAGGCAGCAGUGGGGAAUAUUGGACAAUGGGCGAAAGCCUGAUCCAGCCAUGCCGCGUGUGUGAAGAAGGCCUUUUGGUUGUAAAGCACUUUAAGCGAGGAGGAGGCUACUUGGAUUAAUACUCUAGGAUAGUGGACGUUACUCGCAGAAUAAGCACCGGCUAACUCUGUGCCAGCAGCCGCGGUAAUACAGAGGGUGCGAGCGUUAAUCGGAUUUACUGGGCGUAAAGCGUGCGUAGGCGGCUUUUUAAGUCGGAUGUGAAAUCCCUGAGCUUAACUUAGGAAUUGCAUUCGAUACUGGGAAGCUAGAGUAUGGGAGAGGAUGGUAGAAUUCCAGGUGUAGCGGUGAAAUGCGUAGAGAUCUGGAGGAAUACCGAUGGCGAAGGCAGCCAUCUGGCCUAAUACUGACGCUGAGGUACGAAAGCAUGGGGAGCAAACAGGAUUAGAUACCCUGGUAGUCCAUGCCGUAAACGAUGUCUACUAGCCGUUGGGGCCUUUGAGGCUUUAGUGGCGCAGCUAACGCGAUAAGUAGACCGCCUGGGGAGUACGGUCGCAAGACUAAAACUCAAAUGAAUUGACGGGGGCCCGCACAAGCGGUGGAGCAUGUGGUUUAAUUCGAUGCAACGCGAAGAACCUUACCUGGUCUUGACAUAGUAAGAACUUUCCAGAGAUGGAUUGGUGCCUUCGGGAACUUACAUACAGGUGCUGCAUGGCUGUCGUCAGCUCGUGUCGUGAGAUGUUGGGUUAAGUCCCGCAACGAGCGCAACCCUUUUCCUUAUUUGCCAGCGGGUUAAGCCGGGAACUUUAAGGAUACUGCCAGUGACAAACUGGAGGAAGGCGGGGACGACGUCAAGUCAUCAUGGCCCUUACGACCAGGGCUACACACGUGCUACAAUGGUCGGUACAAAGGGUUGCUACCUAGCGAUAGGAUGCUAAUCUCAAAAAGCCGAUCGUAGUCCGGAUUGGAGUCUGCAACUCGACUCCACGAAGUCGGAAUCGCUAGUAAUCGCGGAUCAGAAUGCCGCGGUGAAUACGUUCCCGGGCCUCGUACACACCGCCCGUCACACCAUGGGAACUUGUUGCACCAGAAGUAGGUAGUCUAACCGCACAGGAGGACGCUUACCACGGUGU
rnacentral:rRNA from 1 species